CUACGGGUUGCUCCAGUGAGGAAUACUGCACAAUGGAGGAAACUCUGAUGCAGCAACGCCGCGUGGAGGAUGACGCAUUUCGGUGUGUAAACUCCUUUUAUAUGUCAAGAAAAUGACGGUAGCAUAUGAAUAAGCACCGGCUAACUCCGUGCCAGCAGCCGCGGUAAUACGGAGGGUGCAAGCGUUACUCGGAAUCACUGGGCGUAAAGGACGCGUAGGCGGGAUAUCAAGUCAGGUGUGAAAUCCUACAGCUUAACUGUAGAACUGCACUUGAAACUGGUAACCUAGAGUAUGGGAGGGGGAGAUGGAAUUAGUGGUGUAGGGGUAAAAUCCGUAGAUAUCACUAGGAAUACCUAAAGCGAAGGCGAUCUCCUGGAACAUUACUGACGCUAAGGCGUGAAAGCGUGGGGAGCAAACAGGAUUAGAUACCCCGGUAGUC
rnacentral:rRNA from 1 species